GCUCCGGUGGUGUAGCCCGGACAAGCAUCAGAGGCUCUCGCCCUCUAGACCCGGGUUCAAAUCCCGGCCGGAGCA
rnacentral:tRNA from 2 species